UACGUAGGGGGCAAGCGUUGUCCGGAAUCAUUGGGCGUAAAGAGCGCGUAGGCGGUCCAGUAAGUCCGCUCUGAAAGUCCGGGGGCUCAACCCCGGGAGGCGGGCGGAUACUGCUGGGCUAGAGUCCGGAAGAGGCGAGUGGAAUUCCUGGUGUAGCGGUGAAAUGCGCAGAUAUCAGGAGGAACACCAAUGGCGAAGGCAGCUCGCUGGGACGGUGACUGACGCUGAGGCGCGAAAGACGUGGGGAGCAAACAGG
rnacentral:rRNA from 1 species